GUCUUCAUGGCUUAGUUGGUUAAAGCGUCGGUCUCAUAAUAUGACCAGAUUCAUCAGUCUCUGGAUAUCCGAAGGUCGCGAGUUCGACUCUCGCUGAGGACA